rnacentral:rRNA from 1 species
GACGAACGCUGGCGGCGUGCUUAACACAUGCAAGUCGAACGGUGAAGCGCUUGCCUUUUUGGUGGGUGUGGAUUAGUGGCGAACGGGUGAGUAACACGUGAGUAACCUGCCCUCUUCUUCUGGAUAACCUCAUGAAAGUGGGGCUAAUACGGGGUAUUCCGGGUCUGUCGCAUGGCGGGUUUGGGAAAGAUUGCGCCUUUGGGUGUUUUCGGUGGGGGAUGGGCUCGCGGCCUGUCAGCUUGUUGGCGGGGUGAUGGCCUACCAAGGGGGUGACGGGUAGCCGGCCUGAGAGGGUGGACGGCCACACUGGGACUGAGACACGGCCCAGACUCCUGCGGGAGGCAGCAGUGGGGAAUAUUGCACAAUGGGCGCAAGCCUGAUGCAGCGACGCCGCGUGAGGGAUGGAGGCCUUCGGGUUGUGAACCUCUUUCGCCAGUGAAGCAGGCCUGCUCCUGUGUGGGUGGGUUGACGGUAGCUGGAUAAGAAGCGCCGGCUAACUACGUG